UGUUGGGUUAAGUCCCGCAACGAGCGCAACCCUCGCCUUUAGUUACCAUCAUUUGGUUGGGUACUCUAAAGGAACCGCCGGUGAUAAGCCGGAGGAAGGUGGGGAUGACGUCAAGUCCUCAUGGCCCUUACGCGCUGGGCUACACACGUGCUACAAUGGCAACUACAGUGGGCAGCGACCCUGCGAGGGCGAGCUAAUCCCCAAAAGUUGUCUCAGUUCGGAUUGUUCUCUGCAACUCGAGAGCAUGAAGGCGGAAUCGCUAGUAAUCGCGGAUCAGCAUGCCGCGGUGAAUACGUUCCCAGGCCUUGUACACAC
rnacentral:rRNA from 1 species